UACGUAGGUGGCAAGCGUUGUCCGGAUUUACUGGGUGUAAAGGGCGUGCAGCCGGGCUGACAAGUCAGAUGUGAAAUCCCGCGGCUCAACCGCGGAACUGCAUUUGAAACUGUCAGUCUUGAGUACCGGAGAGGUCAUCGGAAUUCCUUGUGUAGCGGUGAAAUGCGUAGAUAUAAGGAAGAACACCAGUGGCGAAGGCGGCUUGCUGGACGAUGACUGACGUUGAGGCUCGAAAGCGUGGGGAGCAAACAGG
rnacentral:rRNA from 1 species